AUUGAACGCUGGCGGCAGGCCUAACACAUGCAAGUCGAGCGGAUGAAGGGAGCUUGCUCCUGGAUUCAGCGGCGGACGGGUGAGUAAUGCCUAGGAAUCUGCCUGGUAGUGGGGGAUAACGUCCGGAAACGGGCGCUAAUACCGCAUACGUCCUGAGGGUGAAAGUGGGGGAUCUUCGGACCUCACGCUAUCAGAUGAGCCUAGGUCGGAUUAGCUAGUUGGUGGGGUAAAGGCCUACCAAGGCGACGAUCCGUAACUGGUCUGAGAGGAUGAUCAGUCACACUGGAACUGAGAAACGGUCCAGACUCCUACGGGAGGCAGCAGUGGGGAAUAUUGGACAAUGGGCGAAAGCCUGAUCCAGCAAUGCCGCGUGUGGGAAGAAGGUCUUCGGAUUGUAAAGCACUUUAAGUUGGGAGGAAGGGCAGUAAGUUAAUACCUUGCUGUUUUGACGUUACCAACAGAAUAAGCACCGGCUAACUUCGUG
rnacentral:rRNA from 1 species